rnacentral:lncRNA from 1 species
UUGACUUGUUAAUCAUAAAACUUGCUCUCUAAAGAAGUAUACUGGAGACAUCCGGAUGUGGGGUUAUAAAUAAAAAUGAAAGCAAAACAUCAUCCUUAAAAGUGAAACUCUUAAUUCAAACUUACUGGAUAGCUGACAGUGAAAGUGAAAAUGCUGGCAUAUAUAGAUAUUGGGAAGUCUUGGGAUUUGGAUUUUAUUGCUGACCAUAUGU